GGGGAUGACGAGCUUUGACGGACGGCACCUUUGACAGUCUGCAGGCUGAGCCGGGACGACUCAUAAAACCAUCCCAAAUGAGAUAACUGCCAAUGUUAUUUCGAAGGUGAAGACCGCGAUCGCUUCGGCAUUCCGCGUCUCUUCCCCUGCAAUGGCCCUCGCCUAAACGCGACCGGCCCGUUCCUCCUCCGUGUUCCCGACAUAGAGGAUGUGAGCGCCAUACUUCGGGAUAUAGCCGGAACGCCGACAGGCCGUUCCGUCUGAAACUGGCGUCUGUCUAGACUUAUCGAUCUUGUCCGUUUUACCCGAUAAGCCGAAACAACGAACGGAACAAGCCUGUGCAUGAAGACGUUGAAGUCCCGCUUCGGACGGGGGUGCAACUCCCCCCAUCUCCACCA
rnacentral:tmRNA from 1 species